rnacentral:lncRNA from 1 species
CUUUUUUUUUUUUUUUUUUUUUUUGUAUGUGAAAUUAAUUCCAAGUUUGCUGGUCCAAAGAAACAAAAGAAAUAUGUUUUCACUAUAUGCCGGGAAAAGUUUUGCAGCUCGGUAACUCGAUGAUUUAUUAGCGUCUGGUGCCAACAAACAAACAUGUCUCUUUUCCGGGAAGAAGAGGGGGAAACAAAUUAACAUUCAUGGAAGAAAUUAGGGUUUGUUUCGACGUGAACACAUUUUUCAAUCAUUUUUUUAUCUCAUAUACAUCAAAUAAUCGCUAUGGUAAUUUAUUUUAAAAUAAAAAAAUCCAGUCGAAUCAUAUGAGAUGAGUUGGUCAAGAGUCGAGACAUUUGCCUGAAAAUUAGACCUACACUACACGUUCAAAUGUGAAACACCACUUGAGUAAAAGUCCAAGCAAGGUUAAAAACCCGGGAUCAAGAUGGCACGAAUGAAUUAAAUUGUAUGUGACUAGGUAGUGGGGUGAGAAGAGGUCUCGACUAGCUCCGCGUUGAACACAGGCUUUUCUGAGAUUAUUAUUAUUAUUAGUCAUGUAAACCCAAAUAAAAAUAAAAAACCAUCUUGUCGGCCGGAAGAGAAGAGGAUUAUUAGUCAGUGGGGUAGUUAUCAGAAGGACCAUCAUACAUUUGUCUGGUUCCAGGGAAUAGAAGAGUAAAACCAACAAUUCUCACUCUUUUCCCGUUUUUGUUUUUUGUUUUUUUGUUUUUUUUUUUUGCAGCAGAGAAGUCAUCCGUCCAUAAAAGUCGUCUCAGUUAAAUGAAAUGAACCAAGCUUGAUUUGUUGACUUGAGAAAACCAAACAGCAGCCAAAAUCCCUCCAUUUUCUCGAGGUGUGUGUACUAUAUGGGCGACUACGUACGCAAGAAAGAAAGAAAGAAAUUUGUGUUGGUUUGAAGUGAGACAAAACUACAAAAAAGUUGGUUUAGCUGGCGGUGGUACGAAAGAAACGAACUACUGUCCCACGUCACAUAUGAAGUUUCGGUGGGGGCGCGUUUUUGUAUGGUACAAUGAACUUGGUGACGAUGAAUCAAAUUGCCAAUUUGCUUAUCACUUUUUUUGAGAGAGAAGAAGAGAGGAGGAAAAAAAAAAUAAUAAUAAUAAAUUGGUGGGGUGUCAAAAACAAAAAAGUCCACACUGCAAAUCUGCAUGGCCGAAAAUAACACGAAAGAAAAGGGGGGCAGCAACUAACCAUGCCAUAAGAGGGUCAUAAUGUUCAAUGCACCAGGAUGGGUCGGGACUUGGGAGGGUAAGAAAAUAGUAGCGAAAAAGGUUUAAAGUUUUGUGGGCUACUGUUUCUGUCCGUUCCUGUUUCAGACAGCCGGUCUCUACACGCGUACCUGAUCCUGAUUUUGGACCUGUCCAUGUAUGUAUGUAUGUGCCUGUGAUAUGUUUUGAUUGAGACAUUCUCUUACUUUUCUUCCCUUUGAAUUCUUCAAUUUCUUCUACGCUUUUUAUGUAGUUGGAAAAAAUUUUGUACCCUGCCCUGGCAGUUUUUCUUUUUUCCGGACAAAAUUGUACCUCUCAAAGAACAAAACUGUAAUUUUACCUCUUUGUCCUUGGUAACUCUUGGCGAUUACUAGUAUGGAUCUUUUGGGCUAAUUAAUUGUCCUCCGGAGCAUUUAUUCUGGCAACAAUGAGUACCAACUCACUGCCAAAUAAUUGAAGUUCAUAAAGAAAACACAUCCAAAUUCUGUCUUAGCUUAUUACACUAUUUGAAGAAUAUAUCUUAAUCCGCACUUUUGAUGCAUCGAUCAGCUUCAUCAUCACCAUUAGUAUUGAAACUCCUACAAUGUAUUGACCCAGUUUUCGAGUUAUCCAUUUGGUGGUGAAUUUGAUUAAUCGGCUUUGUUUGGAUAUCAAAAAUUUUCAAAUAAUAAUAUUUCGCUCUUAUCAUAAAUAUAUUUUUCAACUUAUCUUUUAUGUUUGUUAACUGUCUGUUUAUCCCACAUGUAUUGCAUCAUAAAAACUGUUACAGUAAUUAUUUCAAAUAAUACUCCGUCUAAAUAAACCCGCUACUAUUUUCUUCCUCAUCAACGCAGCAAAAUUUAAAGCUAACAUGCCAAAGUAUAGUCAGCGUUUCAAAAUCAGAAAACUAGGGAUAAAAAAAAAAAAAAAAAGGCUGUUCUACACUUGCUGCAUAUAUGGCCGGUCAGCAACAAAUGCAUUGGAGCACACAGAAGAAGAAGGUGUGGUCGGGUGGAUCAAUUUGGUCCACGCAAUUUGUGUUGAUUAAAAGAUGUGGGUCGAAUGAUUAGUGUGAAAGACUCAUAUAAUUAAUUAAAAGGACAGAGUAAUUUGCAGCUCGUGUCAGAAUGUACGUCCAGAGAAAAUGAACAAUGAUAAUAAUCGUACGUCGAGAGAGAAUGAAAGUCAUCGCUCGCGUCAAGGCCAAUCAAUCAAAACUCAAAACCCAACUUGCUUGCAGCGGUGGUCUGCAUUUCAUGCAAUUAAUACGCUAAUAAUGUGACAGUUCUUACGGGAUUCAUGAAUUGCUCCUUAAUUUGGCUGGUCACCAAGCAGGCGGAAACAGUCGGAGAAUUUGACAUCCAUAUCUUGAGAUGAGAUGUUAGCUGAACUCGUCCGCCGUCCUUGGUUUUGGAUGUCCUAUCCCUCUCUCGUUCAUGAACUUGAAUCCUCUCCAUGUUGGACUUGGACCCCAUGCAUCGUUUUCAUUGCAGAUGGUUAAUCAGUAGCGAGUCUUUCAGUCUUAAUUUCCGCCCAGGGGCCCUGAGAUUUGAGCUCUCUUUCCAUACAAAUGCAUUCAUCAUCAAAGCGUGAGAACAUGCAUGCACACAAAAUUCGUCAUCGUCAUGCUGUACAUCGUCUCUGCCAUGCAAAUUCUGGAGCGAGCGCUCUGUCAAACUUUGGAAAGUUCUGCUCAGUGCACUUAUCCCCUAAAUCAACGUGCAAUUAACUUUUUCGAAUGCGGAAAGACAGUUAAAAAUUAAUACUACAUAUAAUAAUAAUAAUGUGGUUGAAAAUGUAUAAAUCCCAAAAUGCAUAGAAUCUUGUAGGAUUCUACUUAUGAUCAUGAAAGCAUGAAACUGUAUUGAUCCUAGCUUUUGCCUUAUUUUACAAAUGUAUAUAAGAAGAAAGAAGGAAUGGUAAUCCUAUUUGCUCAAAUUUGUGCAUCGGCCACCAAGUGGUACGUUUUAAGGUGCGAUAUAUAUUUGGCAAAACGUCUAUGUACAUAUAUAUAUAUAUAUAUAUGUAUAUAUGAAAUCGGUUCAUUUAAUCAAUCGCUUUCUUUUUAUUAGCUGCCAUGUUUAGUUAAAGAGAGUUAAUGGAUUAAUAGAUAUUUGGAUUUUAACUCUUUUUUAAACUAAUUUUAAUUAUUAUGAUUUCUAUCUAACUUUUAUCUCGUUCAAUAAAAAUGAAUUACUUUGCUAGCCCACACGUGUGAUUUUUUCAUUAAAUUUAUCGACUUCGCUGAAAGCUGAAACUUCGCUCAUGAGAGAAUCAAUUGCUACACUUUUUUUUUUUUGGUGUUUAACUAAAAGCAAAUAAUAUGUAAUUAGAGGUGUAUAAUCAUUUUAAAAGUAUAAUAAUCAUCUCGAAGCAAAUUUUUCAUUUCCUUUUUUCUAUACAUUGCAGUUUAUUGAUAAAUAUUAUCAUGUUAUGAUAUUAUGAUUUUUAAAAAAAAAAAUUGCAAUGUUAGUUAAAUAUCUAGAAUACAAUUUUCAUUAUCUGACCAAAAAUUAUUUACUUGCAUUACAAACACAAUUUUCAACACACCUCUUUCUCUUUCCAAUUAUCUUUUUAUCUUAUACCACAAAAAAUACUACAGUAAUUAUUCCAAACAAUCUCCUAUCCAUACACCAUGAUAAAUAUCUCAGAAUAAACAUGUAAAAAUAUCGUUGAUAUCUCUUUCUUGAAAUGUUAUUAUCCCUUGGUUCAUAACAAAUCAAAAUAAAAGUAUCCGAAAAAACAAGUAUAAAUUAAACUGACUGUACAUGGCAAAAUAUUUUGGCAAUCUCAAAAUCUUGUUCAGGGCAUCGCGCGCAAACUCUCCACAGUUUUGGCAAAGCAGUCUGCCCCUCCAAAUCUUAUCAAUCCGAAGCCGUGACAAGCGGGGGCGCCUUCCUGCAACAAGGCUGCAAAUCUUUACCUUCACCUUAAAGAAAAGAGCAAUCGUUUUCGUAUGAGAAAAUGUGACAUGAAACGUGUUUAUGAUCCAUUGAAUUUUCGCGCUGUGGAAUAUGGUGUGUGCAUUGAAUGUAAGCUUUGCAGGGCAUGACAUUCAGCCUUACAGGUCCUUCUCAAGAAAUGGGCAGAUAUUUUUUUUCCCCCAAAAAAAAAAAAGAAAAGAAAAAAGUACUGACAAAGGAUGAUUAGGAAGGUAGGUAUGAAGAAGAAGGACGGGAAGGGCUAGGAUGGGUUCAGAUUCAGUGGAAGCUCUGCGAAAUGUUAAUAAAUCUUAUCACUUACCAGUUCCCACUUGUGUUGUAGUAAAUCUUAAAAAAUAUAACCAUGGUCCCAUUGGCAUUAUGCACAAAGAGGGCCAAUUCAAGGAAUCUAAUAAGUUGAUCGAGAUGGAUAUUCAAAAAAAGAUGAACCGCGAGUUUGGUUUAAAACACACCAACUUGGACUGUUUUGCUAAAUGGGAUCUUGAAAAUUAAUCAGUUUUUCAAAUUUGAGUUAGAGACCUUUUGCUAUACGUAAGUAGCAGUGCCUUUAUGUUCAACUGCAUGUAUAAAUUGUCCACCUGAUGACCGGUGGUGUACAGGCAAUUUUUUGCCGGCAAGGGAACCAAUUUGCUCCUCCUCCGCAUCAAAAUUGAUUGAUUGAUGACUACAAGAAUCUAGGACCAAUAUUGUUAGUAUAGGAUGCGUAGCAGCAAUGCCGGACUGCCCCCCAGCUUUCAAGUUUGACGAGUAUUUUCUAAAACGUUUUCAUGUAUUUCUGGUCAGUACGCCGUUUUAUGAUUCUUGUGAUAGAUUGCAGCAGCAGCAGCUAGCGGCAUUGAUGGCAAGAUAUGCAAUCGUAUUGGAUGUGUCGAACUGCAGCAUUGGCCUUUCUUUUUUUCUUUUCUUUUUUCAAUAAUUAAGGAGCGUAUCUUAAUCUGAUCAACACUACCGGAAAUGCCCCUAUAUUAUAUAUCAGUUUCUAUCAACUAAUUCUCUCUAUUCUUUGGGUAGGGUUACUUUUAGUUUGGUUUAAUUCGGCUGCAGGUCUUUAAAAUAGAAAACAAAAAUUAUUAAUUAUUACACGCAGCCAGCCCCAAAUGACACCUUAACUUGCUGUCACAUUCCAAAAAAAAAAAAAAAAAAAUGAAAGCUCUCGAUCAUAAAGACUCCAUGAACAAGGCAAAUAUGUGCAGCUGUCAAGUGAAGAGUGUCAGAAAUCAAAAGAGUGCAGAUUGGUGCAUGGAUUUGGAGAUGCUUAUUGCUUAACCCAAAAGCAAAAGCGAUAGGAAUUCCUGCACUUGCAGGUUUCAAUUCUAUUAAAUCCAAUCCACGUUGCGUUCAAAACCAAUUCUAUCUAUUAUAGGUGCUUGCAUGCAUCAAACCUUUUGCGUUGAUUUUUUCAGAAAAUUUUGUGUACAUCAUAAAGUGAUUGUUGAGUGAUCGCUAUCUAAUCUAAUUUAUAAUCUUCUGUGAAGAUGUGAUGGGAUCCUAACUUAACACAAAUUGAAAAAGAAAAAUAUCCGUAUGACGCUGGAUGAUUUCACGUACAGCUAAGCAACUGAACAUUAAUAAAAUUAAGGGUCCGUUUGUUUCGGGUGAAAAUGUUUUCCAGGAAAAUAUUUUCCUCAUUUCCCGUGUUUGGUUGUACAAAAGUUACUGAAACCAUUUUCCUAUGUAAAAUAUUUUCACUCAUCUUAUGGAAAACAACUUCCCUUCCAAACUUACUGAAGUUGUUUUCCGAAAUGCAUGCAUCCCGCCUGUAGUAUGUUCCAAACUUACCGAAAACAUUUUGUAGUAUGUUCUUUUUUUUUUUUUAGUGUAAACAGGAGAACUCGAACCGAAGACCUCUUUCUUACACUCCCUCCCCUGUACCACCCAACCCAACCCAACCCUCCCCUAGUAUAUUCAAAAUAAAAAAAAAAAAACCUCAUCCUGCUCAUCCUAUGCUAGUAAUUAAUUAUGUAUAAUAGGGACAUUCUUUUCUAGAGAAACUUUUAGCAGUGAGAGUGCAAGAUAUAUGUCACAAUAAGCAUUGCAUGUGAUUGAUAUUUGACACUAAAUGGCCAGCAAUUUGUUUAUUGCUUGAGGAGAUAUUUUUUAUUCAUAUAUACAUUUUUCCAAGAUUUUUUAAAGUUAAACAAUGAGAUAAAUUUUCUUAUUUUGCAUGGGAAGAAGUAUGUAGUUAUAAUGUGUAGAAAGUAAAGAUAGAGAUAAAAGUGAAAAUAUUUCAAAAGUUAAACAAACACCAUAAAAAUGAAGUAAGAAAAUAUUUUCAAUAAGCUAACCAAACACCUGAAAAUGAUGAAAGGGAAAUGAUUUUCAUGGAAAAUUACUUCCACGCAAGGAAAACAUUUUACUUCCAACCAAACAGACCCUAAGAAGAGGUUCCAAUGGCGUAUUGAAAGAAGAGAAAACUAAAUUAACGGCAGAAAAGAAAAGCUUUGCAAAAAUACUACUCUACUAUAUGUGCACAGGGAGAGAGAAUCAGCUGUGUGAGUCUUGAAGCACCUGAAAAUCCAGCUAUUCCUUAAUUAACUUGUAAUCAAUCAAUCAAUCAAAUUGCCAUUGAUACUACUACAUCUUUUUUAUUUGGUAUUUUCACAUUAGCUUAUAGUACAAAUAAAAGGAAGGAUUAGAUAAUGAGGGAGCGGAAGGGCUUUCAACGAAACGAAUGUACAGGGCAAAAGACAAUUGCUGAAGACACGGGAAUUCGUUAAAUUGGUCAAAUGGGUUUUGUUGAAUUUAGGAAUUGGAGUUGAGAGAGACCAGAUUCAAUGUAGUCUUCAUUGAUAAAGAUCAACUUGUUUAAAAAUACUCCUUCGCUUGUCCUGGCGCGGGUUGGUUGGAUAGUAUAAAUAAAGACAAUACAACAAGAAGGUUUGCUUGCUUUAUUUUAUGGUACUACUACUCCUACUAUUCUGCCCCAUUAGUUGCUUGUGGUACGGCACCCGCAAUCUAGAUCCUUUUUUGUUUUGGCUUUCCAGCCCAGCUUCACGGUUUGAACCCCGUCAGGCAAGUCAACUUGAGAAAACGAAAUUGGGCAUACAUCAAUUUCCCAGUAGCGAGGGAUUCCAGCAGUUUAGCAAAAUUAGAACUCAAAAAAACGUCUAGUGGUUGAAUUUGUGAACCAAUGAAAAAGCAAAUACCACUCACGGUACGCAUUUGUUGGUUCACAGAAGUGAGAAAGGAAGGUCCACUUGCACAAGUUUCAUUUUUCACUCUUUGGGCCUGCACCAAAUAAAUAAAACUGAAAUAGAAAGGAAAAAGGCAGUGCUAAAUUCAUAGCACCCAAAAAAACAUGAAGAAGCUUAGACGUAAGAUGCUGCUUCCUGUUCUUUAGUUCUAACCACCACUUGCAUAAGAAUGCAGAGAGGAAAAGAGAGUUUGAGAUCACCCCAGUUCAGGAGUAGUAAUCAACCAUCCAGCUUAAAUGAUUAACAAACCAUCACCAUUUAGCCCAGACAGCAAUAUGCCGAAUCUCACUCGCCUCAUCUUAAAUUAUUCAUCCUUUUAGGAGCACUUCAAUGAUAUUUAACACACUCUAAUAAUCAAUAGUUGCGGAUACGUAAUCGCAGCUUAACAAAAAGAAUGCGAUAAAAGUUGCGAGCAUUAAUCAUAGAGCCAGAUGAACCAAAAGAGAGAGAGAGCAUAAGAAACAUAUAAAUCAGUCAGAUGUAACAGGCAGUAUUAGCAUUAUAUUUACAAGAUCUCAAAAUGCAUCCUGUAGAAAUACACAGUUAACUGGUGAUUUUGUAUCUAUAAAGGUGGUAUAGAAGGAGAAGCAUAUAUAUUUUGAAUAGAUGUGGAACUACUCAGCCAAAUUAAAAAAGCCCAUAAAAAUUCUCAGUUCCAAUGUCACUUAUCCUCUUCUUCUUGCCUUCUCUCUCUCUUUUCCUCCCCUCAGGGAAACUAUACACCAAAUGUCAUGAAACAAAGAAAACAGCGAAUUCUCAUUUACUGAAAUAAACUAGGUGCACUUCCAUCAUAGCUCUUUAGUCAUAUAAACCUUCUUGCUCCCAAAUAUCCACGAGAAAAUCAACCAUUUCCUGUCAGUCAAAGAUAUUGGCCGGUCAGAUACGAGCCCUGCUAGACUGAAGUCUAAUGAAUCACCGUAAUUAUAAUAGAACCAAGAUAGUGCAAGAGACCCCCCCCCCCCCCCCCCCAAAAAAAAAAAAAAAAAUUUGCAAGAAACUUACAGAGAGAGGAAUUGGCUGAGGAAAACGCUUGUUAGUCCCCAGCAAGCUUUCGUAACUUGCAUUCCAACUGCAACAAGAGCAAUGAAUGAGGCUAAAGGAGUAGGGACAGUAUUUACGUAUGAAAACGAGAGGAUAGAAAGCUAAGAAGAACUGAAUCAAAGGAAUAAAAUCAAUUCUGACACAUUUGAAUAUCAUAUAUGUUGGAGCUUAGCAAAGCCUGAAAUUAUACUUUCUAUAAACCUAGUAAACAUGAAUUACAUUCGUCCUGAUUAUACUCUAAACAACAUAAUACAACUCAAGCUACGUCACAAGGCCACAACAUGAUUGCAGAAUUUAAAAUUCCACCACGAAACAAGAAUAAGAGUGAGUGGACACCUUAAGAUGGGUUCCUCAACUUGUUUUUGUGUCUCUGACUUUUUACUUCCAAUCCACUGAAGCCUUGCCUGGUUCCAACGAAGAUAGCCUACGCUUGGGAAAACAAGAAAAUUAGAAAGUUGCGUCAUAAAUGAUUUAGCUGAACUGAGAAGAAUGUGUCAUAAAUGAUUUAACUCAAUCAAGAUUCUUCUGCAGCAUGCUUGAAGCUACUUCCUCAUUAGGAACAAAGACGCAUAAGAGAAAUACGAAAGGAAGAAGAGGGGAAAAUGACCCGAGACCCCUUCCUUUUCAUACCGUCAUCAUGCAUUGACCAAAAAACUAUUGCUUCAUUCACAGCAGAAUAGAAACUAAAUCAUUAACACAUAAAGGACGAACUUUGCUACUGAAAGCUCAACCAACAGUACAGAGGAGAUUGUAAAGUAUACUUGCCAUGAUUGACAAAUUCUGAGUGGUUAAUACUGUUGCCAGUGCCACCUUGUUGACUGAGGCUCUGAUUUGAUAUACUGAUGGAUGACAUACUUCUCUGAGAUUGAACCAUACUGUUCUCCAGGUCACAUGUGCUGGUGCUCCAGAAAUCUUCAGAUAUGCUGGGUUUCUUAACUAGCCGACCUUGAAUUCUCAAUCCCUUUGAUGGCUCAUCCACAGCAAUGAUCGGCUGAGAUUUGGUGCAGCAACCAAAACAACCUCUGUUCUGUUACAAUUCAGGUUCAUUAACAUAUACAAUACAUGCCAGAAGCAAGAUAUUCACUUUUUGUGUCCCACAACCAGAACUUAGUUUGUUGUUUACUGUUCACUUUUGCAGUAGCAUGAGCAUUUGCCAUGAUUUGUGUUUCGGGAAAAAAAAAGAUCUGAUUCCGAAGUAAGAUCAUGAUUUCUCUAUGUUGCAGAAGGAUUAGCAAACAUUCACACAAUUACAAAACCUUUUUUUGUUUUCAAUAUUUGUGUAGUUUAUAGUUUACUGUUCACUAAUGCAGUAGCUUAAAAAUUUGCCAUGCUGUGUGGCGAAACCAAAAAAAAAAAAAGAGUAUCUGCUUCCGACGUAAGAUCAUGAUUUCUAUUAGUUGCAGCAUUCACACACACCAAAAAAAAAAUUUGUUGUCAAUAUCUUUCCUAAUCCAGGUGAUGAGCAGGAAGUUUUCAGCCAUAGGUGUACAACAAACGGAACUCAAGAUCAGUUAAUAUUAAGAAAUUGACAAUUUUGGAGAUCAAGACCACUACAAGACAUCAAUUCCUAGCACUCAAAAAUAAGACAGCUUUUGAGCAAUAGCAAUGAAGUUUACCAAACGUGUGCUAAGCACACAGACAUAUGUAUAAACAGAACACCACAUAACAGUUAAGCAGAAAACAUGAAAACAUGCAUAACCUUUUGGCCUGGCAUAAUGGAAGGAGAACAAAGAAGAAACUAGAAACAAAUUUAUCGGCUAAUUAAUGGGCUAAGAAGUCCUGAAAUUAGGAUACUUAAAAGACAGCAUAUUCCCUCCUCCCUUUUAUCCUUUCCAAUUUCUUUCAACUUCUUUGCUUCAUGAUUCCAACGAGCAGGAGAUCUGUGUUUGGCUCUCUUUUCAGAUUAGGCCUAAGCACCACAUUCAAUUUUUCUCUACAGAAAAUUCCUUAUGACUCUUGUUCACUCAGAGUUCUUUCUUCAACGCUUCUUUGCUUCGCCUCAUAGCUAAUCAGCACCUAGCACCUACUACCAGGAAAAAGAAUCCAUGGUUUUACCUGCAAGGACUGGUAUAACUUAUCCUAAACAAAAUGCCAAUUAAAAGAUUCAAGCUCCACGCACAAAAUCUUUUCUUGCUUAAUGCACUAUCAGAAGAAGAGUAUGGUUUAUAAGAUCAUUGAGGCAAUCAUGAAUUACCUGAGAAGAAUGUUACUCUUCAAACUUAGACCUACAGGUUUCAGGUCCUUACCUCCAGUAACUUGUGACUUUCCACAGUAACAUAAGCAAAGAGGAAAUGAAGAAGGAGAGAAAUGGGAGGAGACAAGAAGGUCUGCGAUGUCCAGGACCAAGUUAGAGUAAUCAACCACAUACCAGCACACUAGCAUGUUUAACAUUCAAUCCUUCUGUAUCGCAGCCACCAGAUGUGACUUCAAUACUUUCCAAGCAGAAGACAACAACAGGCUACUGCAUACUUUGGACAGGGAGGUUUCAAGGACACCAGACCAGAAAACUAUAAUCACCAGUUCGAUAUUUCUAAGAAGACACUAAAUUAACCUCCUAGCAAGGUCCAAAUAUACCUACCCUCCUAUUUAUCUUAUUUACUACAUUGGAAGAAUUUUUUCACCACAAAAUGGUAAAUGUUGUUUACUCCAACUACAUGUCCUGUAAUCAUUACUCCUAGCCAGCAGAAAGCAAUUUGCAGCACCUGUAUUUGUCAGGAUAUCGCUCCAAUCACAAUUAUAGAUAAGAAGGAUAUUGGAGUAUUGGGCUGGCUGUUUUCAAUCAAAAUGGUACUUUAGCAUUUAUAAUAAACAAAGACACUGUUUUAACAGUAUGGAAACAGAAAAUGGAGCAAUACUGCUGUUUAGAGGAAGACAUAGAAGAGCAUACCCCCAGUCAUAAUAUUUCAAGUAUUUACUAAACAUAUUCUGCAACUACAAGUAUGAAUUGUAAAGAGAAAGCACAAUCAGUAUUUAGACUUGCAUUCUCUAAUAUAAAUCUACAGUUUUAAAGGCAUUAACAUGUUUUGAAGGAAAAUAACACUCUCAUACAACCAGAAGCGCAUACAAUUGUACACACACCAUCUCAACCGUAAUAGUUGUUGUGUUAUGAUCAUUUGAAUGGUGUCUGAGUCAUCGAAAAAGAAACAAAUUCUAACAUUUAAGUGCAUAAUUCACGGUCUCAAACAUUAAGUCAAACACUGUCUCAGUGUAAUCCUUCGCUUAUGCCUAUUGCAUACAUCCAGGAAGUCAUAAUAGUAUGUAACAAAAAGCUCAGCCAAGCUUCACACACACCAUAUAGUAUAUAAACAAGUCUGGUUGAUCUUACAUCUCCUUUUUCAGCAUUUUUCACUUUCUCAACUAAUAAUAGAUCAUGUUUUUACCAGUUGAUUAGUUUCAACUCUUUCCCUUCAAAAGAAUCAUGAAUGUGCAAGUAGCAGCCUGGAAAAGUCUAGUUUCUCUAUCUUUCCAUCUUAAGUACUAAAAAGAGAGAGAGAAAAAAAAAAAAAAAAAAGCAGAAAAAUUGCAACCACAAUAACCAGACAAUACAAAGGUCCGUACACCACCGCAAAAGAGACAAAAUAGAAGAACUUUUUACCUGGCAGACAGUUUUAGAGUUUUACACAAUCCAGUUGCCACUUUUGAGACUACGACAACGGAAGAUAACGAGCAAAAGGUAAAGAAUAGAAAAAACAAAUUAAAUACGACUGUGUUGUCCAAAUUUGGUAAACAAGAACAACCCAUCCCACUCUUAAGUCUCUAGAAUCAAAACAUCUAAUUAUAACCACAAAAAGAGCCAGCCCGAGCUUUCCAGUAUAAUUCUUUAGUUCUCCAUGCUUCUAAACCAAACAAAAAAAUAGAAGCCCCUCGAAACAGAUAACAGAACUUCAACGGUCAAUACAACGGAGAGAACAGUAAUAGGAAGAGACAGGAGCCAAUGAUAAGAACCAGAAUAACUUACCCCAUGCAAGCAAGAAAGCUGCUGAUCCAAUCAGUGAAAGAAGUGUACAGCAUCAUAUACCUAAACAUGAAGCGGCAUCAAAUUAUAAAAACCCAAUCUCUAUUUCCAAACGGCCCAGAUCAACCAAACCCAACAUCAAGCUCCAAUCAUUAAUCCAGCCCUGCAAACAUAUUUGAAGAAAAGUUAAAAAGGGUCGAUAGUUUCUAUGGAAUUUUCACUGUCAAACAAGCAGAUAUUUUAGGAUGGCUACUUAUAUAUGCAUAAUACUCCAUAAAUACCUGCAACAGCACUAGGAAAUACUACUACUACUCCCAUUACCAUAUGCGGCCAGUUGAUCAGCAAACUGCUGGCUACAAUCACACCUAAAUCCUAAUUUGUGAAAUUGGGCGGGGGCGGAUUGUGAAGCGGUGAAUUUGGGAGCGGGACUGUUUGUUUGCUGGGGUGAACCAACCGAAAGUCGAAAGUGAGCGGUGGUUAAGUUAAGUGGGUAAUUUACGAGAGGGUUAAGUGGGGCCCGCUCGUUGUUAAACCUUUUCUACUUACUAACUUUCACUAAAUCCAGCUAGGAUUAUAGUGGUUAAUUUCAGCGACACGCGCUUCUUCCUUUCCCACGUGCGAUUCCCCUCUUUUCCUUUUUCUUUUUCUUUUUUUGAGGACCCCAAAAAAAAAAAAGAAAAAUAUCUUCCUUAGUAAUUGACCUUCUAUUGCACGAACAGCUGCUGGCCAUUAAAAUUAUUGAGUUGGACUUGAAAAUAAAUUCCUUCAAUCUCGAAAUAAGCAUCUGAUAUCAUAGAGUGAAAUUGUUUUUUUUUUUUUUUUCAGAGUGAGUUUAACAGAACAGCUCAAUUCAAGGACUGAUAAUGCAAAUUUUCAAGCCAUACACAGUAGUACUUUCCACGAUCUUAGGAUGCCAUCUCAUCUGAGCGAAAUAUAUAUAUAUAUUGGUUGUUGAGGGCCUUCGGGCCCUAUUCCUGUCUUUCCUUAUCCUGCAGUACCAUUCAGCUUUUCCCAUUUGGGGCAAAAAAGUGUCGGUUGAUACUCACUCGAGAAACUAGAAGGAUAGCUACAACAGUAUAUAUAUUGUCUCUUGACAACUCGCUAAUUUGGUACACAAAUCUGCUGCAUGAUUUUGUCAAUCUUAAUGACAUCUGGCUUUGCACUAAAGCUUCCGCUAACAGUAAUUUGUGUGCGAAAUGAUUGCUAGAUGAAUAUGAUGGGCUAAAGUUAGGUCCCUGAAUCCAUGGCCAAUCAUUCAACGAACCGGUUCAAAUCAAUUAUUAGAGCCGGGCCGGCUAUUGAAAACUAUUGACUAACCUUUUCAAGAACAAAAAAAGCCCUUUGUCCAUUCUGCUCGUUUAAUUCUUUCAGCCAUGGAUACAACGUAGUUGAGUUUCGGGAAGACAAAACACAGAUGACAUAAUUUUGAUGGGCUAAUAACAUUAUCUAUCACCAAAACAGUUUAGCAAGCUGCGCUGCAAGAGCAACAAAAUUCGAACAUAUACUCCCAUGCGUUGGAAAGUUUGAAAUUCUCCAGCCAAAUCUUCUACUGCUUAGUGGCACGAUUUAGCAAAAUUGAAGCCAGACCAACUCUCCACCAAGGUGUCACAGAGGGCUCAGUCUUCUUGGAUAUAAGAGAAGGCAGACCUGUGUGAACGCUGCUACCAAGUGUACCCUCCGGCUUGCUACUUGUCACAGAAGAACUAGUGAAGAUACGCACAAAAAGAAAGAAUCAAACGGCUGGUCACGAACUGUAUCACCAGAACGUGUAAUAUGCGUAGUGCUAGAGGUGGUUGCUAAAUACAAAUCACAAGAGCAGGCAUACAAUAACUAGUUUUCUCUUAAAAAGGAACACUCAAAAUUGUUAAAAUUUUCCCAGCUUCAAUAGAGCGUGAUGGCUAAGUGACGCAAGUUCACUUGUGCGUUUUGACUAAGGAUCCGAAACACAAUCCUGCUAGAUAUGCAUUCCAUAACUGACGAUGCUGCUGUUGUUUUGACGUUUUCAGAAACGUCAUGAUGUAAAAGUUCAAUUGCAUAGCACAACUUGGUCCUUAAUUUAGAUAACAAAAUAAGGUGCCCACAUUAUCAUGCUUUCUUGCUUUAAGAAAGUCAGAGAAGCCUUGUGGUCUAACCAAGUUGUACUACUUCUCUGAUUUGUAAAAUGAUCAUAAUCUAUAGUUCAGUUAAUCCAGUAUAGCAGCAACAUUGUAAAUUAACCAGAAUAAAAGACAAAUUUACAUGACUCACCUCCAAGUGAAUAAACCCGAACACAGCAACUUAAAAUCCCAUCUCUAUCACAAACUUAUGCUCGAGUCUCCAUUGCAAAUUUGUUGUGCCUUACAUUAGUAAUUUAUAUAGGGUUUCUGAUAUGUAAGCAGGUGGUCUGUUUAUUUUACAAGAACUCAGUCGUCAUCCCUCAGGUAGUCUGCCUACUCUAAUGCUUGGCAGAAAAUAAGCAUGCAUAAAAUAACUAAGCAUGAAAAAACUGAAAUUAUACGCAAGAAAAAAAAGAGCUCAUUUGAGAGUGCAUACAUCAGGGGUCUUGGAGCUUCAUAUGCAAAUGUGGAAAUGCCCUGUCGUUGCUUGUGCUUGGGAUUAACUGAGCACAGCACAUACACUCGACCACGUCGUUUAACAGUUCGACAGAACUCACACAUUUUCUUAACUGAUGACCUAACCUUCAUAUCUGCGGACAACAUAUCAGUCAGGGAAAAUCAUGAGCUUACAGAAUCUACAGACAAGUACAACAAAGUUUCUUAUAGAUAAAAUGCUACCACUGGCGAACCAUGCAACCAAAAAACUUCAUAAGAGCAGUUUGAUACCUAGCUAACAGCAUACAACCAUUCAACAUAGCAAAACGCUGAAAGGAGAAAUGACAAUAUUACAGAUGCAUAAUCAACUGAUCAAUAAGGCAGUUGCAGCACAGAUUACGUUAUUAAUCAUAUUUAUCUUCACUUCAUUCACAUUCCAGACAUAAGAAUAUAAAGUGCCCUCAAACCCAAGAAACCAUCUACGGCUGCUAUAAUGGACCCUAUAUGACCUCCAACAUAGGAACAAAACUUUGAUUUAAUUUCAUAUACAUAGUCAGCAAUUCUUUAGGAAAUUUCAAGUUUCAUAAUCUGUUCUUUGAGAAACUAGAGUUCUUUAGCUUCUCAGUCGUCUAUCACAUCUCAAAAUAACCAUUUCGGUCAGCAAUAAUCCCUCAGCCUGAAAUCCAAUUGAACAUUUAUUGGAGACUGGUUUCUUUAGUUAAAGCGCACAAGUCUGGACAUGUUGUCAAGCUUCUCUCCUGCUACUUCAAGCAAUCUAGCCUCAAGUACAAUCCAGUAAAUAAAGCAGAUAAGUUGAAGAACAAAGAUCCUCAUAUGUCAUACGUACUAGAGAAACAACGUGUGACAAGUAAAAUGAGAAUGCGCGAUUUUUUUUUUAACCAUCAAUGGAAUUCGUAUAUUUUUAAACUUUCCACUUUAAACUAAAAACUAAUAAUCCUGCAUCAAAACACAUGGUCUACCUCACAGCAGAACUAGACAUGCAAGGACCUUUAUACAUGACGCAUAAAUCUGAACUGAGCCAUGAGGCUAUUUAGUAUCAACAUUUCAUAAUCCCACAAGAUCAUCUAUUAAGUACCUUAGCCAUGAGGCUAAAUCCCAAAGAAAACUGGAGCUGAAAACAUUUUCAGGAUUGCCCAAUAUUAAAAGGAAAUGAUGCAAAAUACCCAGAGAAGAAGGAAAAAUGCCCGUUACUUUCUUUUUUUUUAUUAUUGUUUUUCAGCAACAACAUAUUGCCAUAGCUGAAUCUAUAGUUUUUACCAGUCUUUCCAAAGCUAUUAAAACAGAAGGGUUGCAUUGAAAACCAACUUGAAUCUUGAAGGGGGGAAAAAAGAAAAAGAAAAUUCAUUUCCUAAGAGCAGCCAAAGUUUACUACUUAACUUUCUCGUAAACCAAAACCCUUCAACUGGAAAGAAGCAAUUAACAACCUUGGUAUGUGUAUGGAUAAGAAAUCAAAAAUUCAAAAACCGACUAGACGACGAUUUGGGAGAGUGAAUAAACUCGUAAAAAACACUAAAUUAAAUCCAGGGUUUUCGAAGUUAAUAAAAGAUUGUGCAGAAAAAUUGAUCAAAUAAGAAGUUACCAGAAUGAUAAAAGGGAUGUUUAUUGCAAUUUUUUGCUUCGACGAUUGCAGAAACUGAAGAUGGAGGGCGAGGCUGCGGCACCGCCGAGCUAAAAAAUAAUAAAAUAUUAGUGGUAAAAUUUACGCUGGUUUCAACGUUGGCCCAUAGAGAGCGGGCUUAAGAAGUGGCUUCUAAACCCAAUUUGGAAAUGCAAAUGAUUUUAUCUGUUUGUUGAGUUGGGCUGGAGCCCAAUGUUGUAAAAUUUUCGUAAGUUUUCCAUGUGGGAGUUAAGCACAAAAUUAAAAGAUGAGAUUGGGGGCCAUCAUAUUUUGGAAAUUUUUAAGAUUCAUUUAGGAUAUCAUUCAUUCAUUUUGGAAAUAGUUUAUAUUUUAAAAUAUUGAAAUUGUCAUCAUCUAUGAGUCAAAACAUUUAUUUCAACAUUUAAAUAUAAAUUUAAUUUAGAUUAUGAUACUCAAAAAAUUUAUUACUAGAACCGGGAAAUUUAUAGAAGACAAAAUAUUGCCAAAUUAACAUUUGAGAUAUCACAAUAAUUACAGCGAAGCAUCGCUUGGGAUUUCAGAACAAUUACAGUAAAGAAUAAAAAUCCCAAGCAAGAUUGAGAUAUUUAAAUUCGCACUAAAAUAUAAAAGAGUAAAUCUCAUGUAUACUGACAGUGUGUACACAGACUAUCACGGUGAAAGUAUUCAACGGUAUCAUACAUUCAAUGGUGAAAGUGUAUAGGCUAUUAAUAUAUAAGAAGAUUAAUCAAAAAUAAAAACCAUUAAAACUUGGGUUAACGUGUUCCAGAAGACGGAGUUAGCAUUUGGGCCAAUAGGUGGCCGUUAACAUAUAUAUGUAUUUUCCAGGAACCAUCUUAAAGUUGCCGUGGCAUGGGAAGUUGGGAACAUGACAAAAGAUGGAAAGCUCAAAAAACCCAACCCAAUAAUCUCUUUAUUUCCCCAAGAUAAUCUCUUUGCUUCAGACAACGGAACGGGCAUCAAGUCAUCAACUAAUUAAAUCACCACCUGGACUUGUUGGCGAACCAGAAACAUUCUGGGCGUUAGUUUCCCAUUUAAACACGACUGAUUGCACAAUUAAGGCAGUAGAUUACACAAGCAAGGAUACGAUUUGAUUAAAUAAAUCCCACCUGCUGCCGUCAUUAAGUUACAAUAAUUUUUGGCGGACGCUCAAUUAUUGGUUAAGAAGGGUUGAUCCUGAUCUUGAUCUAGCCUAUGGCAGGCCAUCUCCUCAGCCAGCAGCCCUUACUCCUCAGGGCCAAAUGAUUCGACCAACCCUUUUAAGCAGGACCACGUUGCUCUGCACCACAUCUUCCGCUCCCGCAUUAAUUAAAGUUGUUAUUAAAUUAAUGUAAUGGCCAUGUUAUACAAAGAUCUUUAUGUCGAAUGUGUCGAGGCUUCCAUUUAUCUAACUUUGUUUUGGGGGGAGGGGAGUUUUCAAUUAUCUCGACAGUUGAAAAAGAACGUGUCGAGGCUUCUUUGCCUCUCCUUCUUAAUAAUGGUUACUACUAGCGUAAAAUGGGAUUAGCCCCUCUACAGCCAUGAUGAUGAUCAAUUACACGACGAAAGAAAUUUAAGGUGUGUCACGGUUUGAUUAGUUAACCUUGACUACGAAAGGUCCUUUGGGUUUCGUCAUGGGAAGAAAGGAAUAAGAAACUUUUAUUGGAUGGAUUGGCGUCAUUUCUAGAAGCUCUUUCCUCAAGUUAGUCAAGGGUGUUGGGCCAACGCUAUGCUUGUUGACAAUUAAAUGAGGUUACCACAAAGUUGAUGGGGUCAGAUGGAAGGACCCGGAAGCAUCUAGCAUUGAAUAAGAUUUGCACACGCAAUGCCCUGCUGUUUCACAUCUGCGGUAAUAAUACCUGUUCAAAUUCCACGUCUAGUCAUAGGAUUGUUAAAUGGCUCGGGUCAGCUCGAGUUCGACCCCAAAAAAACCUCUGAUUUUGGGUAUAAACAUUAUAUUCGAAUUAAAUAUGAGCUGAAUUUGGAACUUAUUAGGCUCAAAUUUGAUAUAAAUCCGGUCAUUUAAUCUGCAUCUAUAUAUAUAAUUAUAUGUAUAAUAUCACUAAUAUUUUAUAGUUAUGAGUUAUGUGUCAAAAUAUAUAUUUAUAUAUAUAUAUAAGAAAUAUUAAAUAUACAAAAUUAUGUCAAACGAUUUUGAAGGAAAAAUCUUAGUACGAGUAUAUUGAGAACCUUUAAUGAUGUAUUGACUGUUAAUCAUGUUUUAUUACUAUUUUUAUGUACUUUGAAUUAAUUGGAUACAUUAUUGUUGAAAAUUUAUUAGUUUAUAUACUUUUUAAUGAACUAUUACUGGUUUGUUUAUAAUUUUAAUGUUGUGGUCCUGUGAAUGUUAUAUUAGGUUUAGAUUUUAACAGUUAUAAUAAUUUUAUUAAAGAAAUUAAAAAGCAAUACACGAGACUGAGCUAAGCCCGAAUUAGAUUCACGCUCGAAUAUUUUGUGAGUCAAAUAUAAAUUUUACGUUAUCAACCUCAAACUCGUAAUUCAAAACUUAAAAGCGAUAGUCAUUACAUGAGCCAAACCUAAACUUGUUAAAAGCCGAUUCAGAUGGUCCCAUUGACAGCCUACACAUAGUUAUCACUUUUUUUCUGUCUACAUAUGGUAUUACCAUUCAAGACCACGACAACAUUUGUGAUUAAAAAAAUUUUUGCUUGUGGGUAAAACUUAGUCAUAACUUUACUCAAUAGACAAGUUUUCUUUUUAAUUUUAAGAUCAUGUUUAACAGGUGUUAUAAUAAAUUAGCUGUUUAUAUACUACUAGGACUUACGCAUAAAGUACUUGCCCCGGAAGAUACCAACAAGCAACGACAUGCAGGCAGGAACUUUCUAGGAAAUUUGAAAUUUCGAGGUUGGACUUCAAUUCGGACUUUGGCGAGAGGACCAGUGGUAAUUUCAUUCAUACGACGUCAUGAAUAAACUAAGCAGUAUACUAGCUAAUGCCAAGAUUAUCAUGCAUUGACCUAACUAAUUAAUGGGUUUAGCUAUGCUAAAUCAUAGUUUGGCAUCUCCAAAUUAUCUUCUUUUCGAAAGAGAACACUCGGGCCAGUGUGUUAUGCUCCAGGUGUGUGGAAAGGAUCAUUGAACCAUGGAUUCAUGACGACUAGUUAAGCUUGGAAGACAUGAUUGAUUUGUUUGAACUUCCUGCCUUGCAAGUACCCUUUCCUUUCUGUGUUUCUUUUCCUACCAGGUCAGGGGUUCAAAAUUCAAACACAAAAGGAGCAGAAGAGAGUAGAAAAAAGGCGGUAGAAAGAAAAUUAGUUUUUCUUUUUGUGCUAAGAGAUGUGUGUUUAAUUGGUACUGGUAUUAACGUGGCAAGUUUCAUAUGUAUGGUGCAUGCAAGAUUUUUCUCAUUAUAAUUUAACCAUUUUGCAGUUCAUCUUAUUUCCUUCUACUUAAUCCCUUUUUUAAUCACUUCUUUUUUUUUCUUUCUUGAAAAUUAGCUAGCAAAUUUAGGCAGUAGUGUAAUAGGAAUCUAUCACCCCCAGUGGGUAGCUCGGCUGGCUCCGAUCGUCCGUCUUUACAGCAAGGCCACAGGUUCGACACCCACUUGCUACUGUUGUUGGACAUCUUUGGGGCAAGCUCUAUCCAGCCUGGGGGAUUAGUCCAGGUGAUUUCGGAAUACCUCUCUAGACUGUAAAAAAAAAAAUAUAUAUAUAUAUAUAAUAAUAAUAAUAAUAAUAGGAAUCUAUCGACCACGCCUACCCUUAAACUUCACGUGGCUUGUCCACACCUGCAAAGGGAUGAAGCAGUGUCUCCUCACAUCCUGUUUCCAGUGCUCUUUUCUUAUAGUAUAUGUUUAUAAAGAUUACGUAAAAAAUUUUGAGAUCUUUUUUUUUUUUUUAAAAAAAAAAAAUACUAUUUGUUAGGAUGAUUUAGUAGCACAUAACAAAUUUCAGAUGACGAUGAUAAUGGAGUCCAACAAUUAUGGACAACCUGCAGAACUUUGGCCAGGUAAAGACAAUAAAAUUCUAGUAUUUUUAUUCAUGUUACAUCACCAAAAGGCCACAGCAGAUUAGGCAAACGCCAAUCUUCCAUAGGCAAUCUGCAGAUUCUCUGCUGGUCCGUGCCAUACACAAAGUGUUAAAAUUCAUUUCAUGCAACCCACUCCUACUCCAUCAGACCCUUUUCAGUUGCCCAUGCUUUGCUCUUUCUAUAUAGCUUUCUAUAUUUGGCCUCUUUUGACGCGUAUGCCUGGCCAAUCAGAGGCUGAAAUUUAUUUAGACUAAGAACAGCUUUAUAUGCUGCCCCCCAAAGACGCCAAGCAGAACACAGAUUCUAUGAACCAAAGAAAAGAUAACGAAAGAAAGGAGUUGGAAAAAAAAAAAACAACAACAAAGAUCAAUAUUUUUUUUUUUUUGGAGGGCUUGAUGCCACACUAUCAAUGGUCAAGAAUGAAGAAUUAAUCCAAUGGUGCAGACGGCCCUCUUCUGACUACUUUAUACAAUAAUAUUAAAAUACUAGUGCAAGUUAUAGAUGUAUAGGUGUCGGGUUGUACAAUACACAUACAUAUGAACAUGUGAUGUGAUGAGGUCUUUCUGUCUAAGGACUACAUCAAUAGAGAACUGAAUAAACACAGGACUACAUCAAUACAUGAGCCAUACAAAUGUUUAGUGAUACAGAAGGAAAUGAUGAACACGCAUUCACACAUAUAGAUGUGUGAAUUCGUGGAUUAAUUGAAUCUUUUCUUAUAAGCAAAAUGCAUGGAUUUGAGAGAAUUCUGGCUUAUACUAGUAUUUUUUUUUUGCUGGUACAGGCGUGAUUCAAACUCAAUCUUCAAGGUCUUCAACUCAAUAUCGAGACGAGAAAAAAAAAAAAAAAAAAAGAAAAGAGGCAAAUCCAAAUUGUGCAAAUUAACAAGGCAAAUGUUCUGGCAAAAGGAGAUACAAAAUUGGAAAUCUAAAUUCAAUUUAAGCCAGUACUAGAGGAAUCAUGCAUGUAUGUACAAGUACAACAGGAGGCUCCCAUUCAAGAUUUUGACAUCCUACCAUUAGGAGGGAGACUAAACUCUCACGCAACAUGCAAUCUGUAACAUAGACCGCCAUGUGCCAUCAUUUUCUCUUUCGUUUCCAUACUUCUUGGCAACAAUCAGCAUUUUUUUUUUUU